UUCCGCGUGAGCGCGUCGUGUGUCUCAACGAGUCCUGCAUUCUUACCUAUCGUCUGCUCCCAAACAUGCGGUGUGUCGUCUGCUCACAGACACGAGGAGCUGUCUGGACGUCUGGACAGGCGGUACUGUCUAUGUGGGGAGGAGUUGACAUCGAUAGCAUUUUGAGGACCAAAUAGCAGAAAAACAGAAUUGUGAGGAUUGUGACGGGGCCAAGAAGUGAGUUCGAGACAACCGGGAAUUCGACACAUCCAAGUUCGACACAACGAUGUUUCGUGAUUUAACGCUGCAAAAACAACUCUUGAAAUAUAUCAUUCUCAGUAGGCCCCUAACGACGUUA